ensembl:lncRNA LOC120097090 uncharacterized LOC120097090
CCCAAUAUGGCUGUUUGCCCUGGGAAGGUCGCCUGCAAUGGAGGAGUGAAGAAAAAAGACCGAGACAGAGCAAAGGGACAAAGCAGAGAGGAAGAAAAGGAGCUUAGGCACCGGGGAGCUGACUCAUGGCUUUGGAAACCAAGAGAGUCACACUCCUUCCCAAGAGUCCAAGGUCACAGGCCAAGGGCUCUGGCAGUUUUGGCCAUAAACCUGCUCCUGACCCGACCACGGUCAAGUUCAAGGGCAUCAGGAAGGCAGCAUGGAGACUGAACACAAUCCACAGGUUUCUGAGCGCCCCAUCUGUGCGCCUCUCCGUCAAAUACUGCAGCAGCUUGCAACUUAAUUGGUUUUCCCCACUUCUUUGUUUAUGCGAGAAAAUAAAAAUGAUUUGAUCCCCAAAUCGAGGGGAAAUGGAUCAGAAAUAAAG